rnacentral:rRNA from 1 species
AGUGAACGCUGGCGGUGGGCCUAACACAUGCAAGUCGAACGGCAGCACAGUAAGAGCUUGCUCUUACGGGUGGCGAGUGGCGGACGGGUGAGGAAUACAUCGGAAUCUACUUUUUCGUGGGGGAUAACGUAGGGAAACUUACGCUAAUACCGCAUACGACCUACGGGUGAAAGCAGGGGAUCUUCGGACCUUGCGCGAUUGAAUGAGCCGAUGUCGGAUUAGCUAGUUGGCGGGGUAAAGGCCCACCAAGGCGACGAUCCGUAGCUGGUCUGAGAGGAUGAUCAGCCACACUGGGACUGAGACACGGUCCAGACUCCUACGGGAGGCAGCAGUGGGGAAUAUUGGACAAUGGGCGCAAGCCUGAUCCAGCCAUACCGCGUGGGUGAAGAAGGCCUUCGGGUUGUAAAGCCCUUUUGUUGGGAAAGAAAAGCAGCAGGUUAAUACCCCGCUGUUCUGACGGUACCCAAAGAAUAAGCACCGGCUAACUUCGUG